CAGAGGUGGCAAGCGUUGUUCGGAAUUACUGGGCGUAAAGGGCGCGUAGGCGGUUCUGUAAGUCCCGCGUGAAAUCCCCCGGCUCAACUGGGGAACUGCGCGGGAAACUGUGGGGCUAGAGUUCAGGAGAGGGAAGCGGAAUUCCGGGUGUAGCGGUGAAAUGCGUAGAUAUCCGGAGGAACACCGGUGGCGAAGGCGGCUUCCUGGACUGACACUGACGCUGAGGCGCGAAAGCUAGGGGAGCAAACGGGAUUAGAUACCCCGGUAGUCCUAGCUGUAAACGAUGAGUGCUGGGUGUAGGGGGUAUCAACCCCCCUGUGCCGAAGCUAACGCAUUAAGCACUCCGCCUGGGGAGUACGGUCGCAAGGCUG
rnacentral:rRNA from 1 species